AAAACAUCGCCUCUUGUAAAACAUAAGAGGUCCAGCCUGCCCAGUGACUCUGUUCAACGGCCGCGGUAUCCUAACCGUGCGAAGGUAGCGUAAUCACUUGCCCUUUAAAUGAGGGCUAGUAUGAAUGGCAUCACGAAGGUUGCACUGUCUCCUCCCUCUAAUCAGUGAAACUAAUCUCCCCGUGAAGAAGCGGGGAUACUCGUAUAAGACGAGAAGACCCUAUGGAGCUUUAAACUAAGCAACAACUGCUAAUACAAGUAGCCUAUUCGAGAAAUUUAACCCGCACGCUAGCACAGUGAUUGCUAAUUUUCGGUUGGGGUGACCACGGAGUAAAAUAAAACCUCCGCGUUGAGACGGGAUUUCCCUUUAGCGAUAAGCCACAACUUUAUGCAUCAACAAAUUGACACUAAUUGACCCAAUAUUUUGACCAACGAACCAAGUUACCCUAGGGAUAACAGCGCAAUCCAUUUCAAGAGCCCCUAUCGACAAAUGGGUUUACGACCUCGAUGUUGGAUCAGGACAUCCUAGUGGUGCAGCCGCCACUAAAGGUUCGUUUGUUCAACGAUUAAAGUCCUA
rnacentral:rRNA from 1 species